rnacentral:rRNA from 1 species
UACGAAGGGGGCUAGCGUUGCUCGGAAUCACUGGGCGUAAAGGGUGCGUAGGCGGGUCUUUAAGUCAGGGGUGAAAUCCUGGAGCUCAACUCCAGAACUGCCUUUGAUACUGAAGAUCUUGAGUUCGGGAGAGGUGAGUGGAACUGCGAGUGUAGAGGUGAAAUUCGUAGAUAUUCGCAAGAACACCAGUGGCGAAGGCGGCUCACUGGCACGAUACUGACGCUGAGGCGCGAAAGCGUGGGGAGCAAACAGG